rnacentral:rRNA from 1 species
ACCAACCGGGAUUGCCUCAGUAACGGCGAGUGAAGCGGCAAGAGCUCAAAUUUGAAAGCUGGCUCCUUCGGAGUCCGCAUUGUAAUUUGCAGAGGAUGCUUUGGGUGCGGCCCCCGUCUAAGUGCCCUGGAACGGGCCGUCAGAGAGGGUGAGAAUCCCGUCUUGGGCGGGGUGUCCGUGCCCGUGUAAAGCUCCUUCGACGAGUCGAGUUGUUUGGGAAUGCAGCUCUAAAUGGGUGGUAAAUUUCAUCUAAAGCUAAAUACUGGCCGGAGACCGAUAGCGCACAAGUAGAGUGAUCGAAAGAUGAAAAGCACUUUGAAAAGAGAGUUAAACAGCACGUGAAAUUGUUGAAAGGGAAGCGCUUGCGACCAGACUCGCCCGCGGGGUUCAGCCGGCAUUCGUGCCGGUGUACUUCCCCGUGGGCGGGCCAGCGUCGGUUUGGGCGGCCGGUCAAAGGCCCCUGGAAUGUAGUACCCUCCGGGGUACCUUAUAGCCAGGGGUGCAAUGCGGCCAGCCUGGACCGAGGAACGCGCUUCGGCACGGACGCUGGCAUAAUGGUCGUAAACGACCCGUCUUGAAACACGGACCAAGGAGUCUAACAUCUACGCGAGUGUUCGGGUGUCAAACCCGUGCGCGCAGUGAAAGCGAACGGAGGUGGGAGCCCCCUCGCGGGGCGCACCAUCGACCGAUCCUGAUGUCUUCGGAUGGAUUUGAGUAAGAGCGUAAAUGUGGGGACCCGAAAGAUGGUGAACUAUGCCUGAAUAGGGCGAAGCCAGAGGAAACUCUGGUGGAGGCUCGCAGCGGUUCUGACGUGCAAAUCGAUCGUCAAAUUUGGGUAUAGGGGCGAAAGACUAAUCGAACCAUCUAGUAGCUGGUUCCUGCCGAAGUUUCCCUCAGGAUAGCAGUAACGCAAAAUCAGUUUUAUGAGGUAAAGCGAAUGAUUAGAGGCAUUGGGGUUGAAACAACCUUAACCUAUUCUCAAACUUUAAAUAUGUAAGAAGCCCUUGUUGCUUAGUUGAACGUGGGCAUUAGAAUGGAGCGUUACUAGUGGGCCAUUUUUGGUAAGCAGAACUGGCGAUGCGGGAUGAACCGAACGCGAGGUUAAGGUGCCGGAAUGCACGCUCAUCAGACACCACAAAAGGUGUUAGUUCAUCUAGACAGCCCGACGGUGGCCAUGGAAGUCGGAA